UCUAAGUAUAACCUGCCAGACAGGGAAACUGCGUACGGCUCAUUACACCAGCCUUAAUUUACUUGACCUUGACAACCUACUUGGAUAACUGUGGUAAUUCUAGAGCUAAUACAUGCACCAAAGCUCCGAUCCUCGCGGAGAGGAGCGCAUUUGUUCGCCACAAAACCAAGCGCCCAUCUGGGCGUCCAGUGCUGAACCAGAACAACUCAGCUGAUCGCACGGUCUUGUACCGGCGACGUGUCUUUCAAGUGUCUGCCUUAUCAACUUUCGAUGGUAGUGUACCUGACUACCAUGGUUGUGACGGGUAACGGAGGAUAAGGGUUCGACUCCGGAGAAGGGGCCUGAGAAAUGGCCACUACGUCUAAGGAUGGCAGCAGGCGCGCAAAUUACCCACUCUCAACGCGAGGAGGUAGUGACGAGAAAUAACGAGACCGUUCUCAUACGAGGCCGGUUAUUGGAAUGGGUACAAUUUAA
rnacentral:rRNA from 1 species